rnacentral:lncRNA from 1 species
GCCAUUUUGCAUAAAAGCCCCUCAACUUUCACCCCUGUGCACAGCCCUCACUGGGUAGUUUUCGCGCGGAGGGACCGGUCUCCCCGACUUGGGACCGAUCCCCGAGAGCUUCCCUCGGGCGCACGCGUUCGGGAACCGGUCUCUCCCCGGGAGACCGGUCCUCGGGAGACCGGUCCUCACCUGGGAGACCGGUCCCCGAGAGCUCAAUCUUCAGGACUUAGCCAACUUUUGGCAUCUCUCGCUGGGUCCACGUUCGGGAACCGGUCCCUCCCUGCCAGGGACCGGUUGCAUCACGCAACCCCGCUACGCCCAGUUAGGGGAACCGGUCUCUCACCUGCAGAGACCGGUCCCCGAGAGCAACAUCAGCCCAAUGAUGCAGUUUGCCUCAUUUGCUCUCGCGGACUCAACUCCAAG